GACGAACGCUGGCGGCGUGCUUAACACAUGCAAGUCGAACGGAAAGGCCCCUUUGGGGGUACUCGAGUGGCGAACGGGUGCGUAACACGGGAGUAACCUGCCCUUGCCUUCGGGAUAACUUCAGGAAACUGGGGCUAAUACCGGAUAGGAAUCCUUGCUGCAUGGUGGGGGUUGGAAAGCUUUGGCGGUUUUGGAUGGACUCGCGGCGUAUCAGCUUGUUGGUGGGGUAGUGGCUUACCAAGGCUUUGACGGGUAGCCGGCCUGAGAGGGCGACCGGCCACAUUGGGACUGAGGUGCGGCCCAGACGCCUACGGGAGGCAGCAGUGGGGAAUAUUGCACAAUGGGCGGAAGCCGGAUGCAGCAACGCCGCGUGCGGGAUGACGGCCUUCGGGUUGUAAACCGCUUUCAGCAGGGGCGAAGCUUGUGGUGACGGUACCUGCAGAAGAAGCACCGGCUAACUACGUG
rnacentral:rRNA from 1 species